AUGUGUGUGUGUGUGUGUGUGUGUGUGUGUGUGUGUGUGUGUGUGUGUGUGUGUGUGUGUGUGUGUGUGUGUGUGUGUGUGUGUGUGUGUGUGUGUUGGCGUUUUCACGCCUUUGUGGGUGAUCUGUUUCUUCGUCUGUUUGUUGGGUUUGGAUGGGGGGAACGUCACUUAUGGGGGGCGGGAAGGGGUUUCUUGGGUUUCUAGGGGGUGGCAUAGGGAUAGGGGGGAGAAAUUUACAUUUACAUUUAAUGUAGUUUCAUUCUCAGGGGGGGGGGGUUUAGUGUCACUAUUAUUGAAAUGUCAACAAGCUUAACCGAUCUGUGCAAGUACUGCGAAAUAUUUAUAUAUGCCUAUUCCUACCUUAGACUCAUUCUCGCACACAGGCAGUAAUGCCUCUGCGAGAGUAAAUAUUUCUUAAUAUAUAUUUGUA